AAUCCAUGGUACAGGAAACAUCAAAGUAAGUCCUUAUACCUCUCUCAAGCAUCAUACAUACUCUCGUUAUCGAACUGCACAAAAGAAGAUAUGUCAUUUCUCAACUU
rfam:Ricinus communis cultivar Hale ctg_1100012357772, whole genome shotgun sequence.